GAAAUUCGCGGAAAAUAAUGCUCGCUCCCUUAAACCGGAAACAUACCCGAUUGUGGCAGUAGAUUUUGGAAAAUGCAGUCGACAGUGCGGUCUGGUUCGGUCAGCAUGAAGUGUUAUGAAGUGCCAGUUUGCCAACCUGAUCACUGGUUUUUGACAGCAGACCAUCUACUUCCUUGAUACCUGAACAACUCCUACAGUGAAGAGGCAUUUCCUGAACAAUGGAGGUAGUGCAUAUAAAAAUGUAUCAUGUUUCACAAUGUUUGAAACUGUUUAUAUGCUGCGACAUCCUCGAGACACAAUAACAGAAGCUUUCUAAAGACAUGCAAACCAUGAGAUGGAAACUUGCUUUGUAAUUCACUACCAGUGACUGGCAGUCCUGAAACAGAAUGUCCAACUUUUCUUGGCAAAUCCAGACCUACCAUCAGGAUGCAGUGUCAUGUAAGACACUGCAAGAGCUUUGUCUUUCUGGGAUUCCUAAGCCUUUGAAUGGAGAAAACAAGACAUUGCUGCAUAUAUGACGAUGAAAAUACCAUAUUGUUGGACAUUAAUUAAAAAGAGCAUUGACCAAUGACAUGUAUACCGUGGCUAGUGAUUGAUAAUUGUUGUGAUUUUUCUGAUUUGGCCAUACAGUCAGAAUGAAGGAAAGACAAAUAUCAUGGAUAUACACAGAUACACUUUUAAGCUCCUCUGGUACAAACUGUCAUAAUCUUAUGGUAUAGUGAAGUGUCUGUCAUAAGUCUGUCUGUCAACUUUUUCUUUAAAUUACUUUUUUAAAUUGAAAAUCACAGGGCCCUUAUAUUUGGUCAGCAAGUACUUGGGAUAAAUACUUUAAAGUUUCAUCAUGUAGAUUACCUUGACCUUCUUUCAAGGUCACAGGUGUCCAAAACAGGCAUCAGUUUCUUAAAAACUGGUCUUGAGUCAUGAUAUUUCAUGAUGAUUAUAUUUUAUUCAGUAUUCCUUUGCAUUGCUUUGUUUAAAAAAUAUUUUUUUCAAAUUGUUCCAUCAAAUAUAUGUACAUGUAUGUAGAUAUAUGUAAUGACAGCAUACUUGUUGAUAACUUUGUCGUAGCGAUUGUUUUGUUAACUUUUAUGCAUAUUGAUAUUUUUUUAUGAAAUUAAAUCAUUGUUUAUCUUC